rnacentral:lncRNA from 1 species
AUGAGAAUACAGUUUCCUCCGAAAAAAUCUUAGGCUGAUCUUGGAAGAAAGACCCCCUGGAUCAUCUAAAAAUAAAGUUUUCUAUUUAAAGGGUCAUUUCAGGACCAGGACAGUUUGGCACUGGGACGUGUUUCCCAGAAGUACUAAUAGUUCGAGAGAGGAGCAAGUGUCUUCACAUCUGCAGGUCUGGGUGCCGAACUUUCUACUGUCGAAGCCUGAGGUGAGAUGUCUGGCCGUGUUGCUAGUGCUCGUCGCCCUCAAGAAGCCAAACAGGCUCUCAGAGUCUCUCAGGCCCUGCCCCCGGACGUGGCCCCGCCCCAGAGCAUGCUGGGCAGGACCUCCCCAUAGAUCCCUCCCAUUGCCAAUGUAUUCCUCCAGAGGAUUCUGAGCUCUGCUUGGUGUUUCCAGCUGUGAUGAGGUAAAUGUAGUCUUGGUCCUCUGGAAAAGUAGAUAAUUAAGGCAGAUAGUCCACACAUGUGAAAGUGUUGUGACUUGGAAAGGGUGGGCAGAUCCCAGGUUGGGAGGAUUAAGGAAAGCAUUGAGGGAAACCUUUCAGUAUGGUGGGAAGGAAGGAGGAAAGAAGAGAUGGAGGAUCUCAUUUUGGUUUUGGUUUUGUUUUGUUUUGAAGUUUUUAUGAAGAAAAGUUCCCAUCUGAUGACUUCUCUGUUUCCCUCUGGUGGUCCAGCACAUAUGAUCAAUGAGCGAGGAGUGUGGACAAGGUGUAGGAAAGUGGAAUUGUUUUGAGAACUUAGGCAAGCGAGUUGACUGAGAAAACAAUCACAGAAGCUCCCCGAGACAGGGCCUCUGUUGUGCCUCCACUGGGUGUCCCAAGUGCUUGGAAGAGCGU